rnacentral:rRNA from 1 species
GAUGAACGCUGGCGGCGUGCCUAAUACAUGCAAGUCGAGCGAAUGGAUUAAGAGCUUGCUCUUAUGAAGUUAGCGGCGGACGGGUGAGUAACACGUGGGUAACCUGCCCAUAAGACUGGGAUAACUCCGGGAAACCGGGGCUAAUACCGGAUAACAUUUUGAACCGCAUGGUUCGAAAUUGAAAGGCGGCUUCGGCUGUCACUUAUGGAUGGACCCGCGUCGCAUUAGCUAGUUGGUUAGGUAACGGCUCACCAAGGCAACGAUGCGUAGCCGACCUUGGAGGGUGAGCGGCCACACGGGGACUGGGACACGGCCCAGACUACUACGGGAGGCAGCAGUAGGGAAUCUUCCGCAAUGGACGAAAGUCUGAGGGAGCAACGCCGCGUGAGUGAUGAAGGCUUUCGGGUCGUAAAACUCUGUUGUUAGGGAAGAACAAGUGCUAGUUGAAUAAGCUGGCACCUUGACGGUACCUAACCAGAAAGCCACGGCUAACUACGUGCCAGCCGCCGCCGUAA